rnacentral:rRNA from 1 species
AGAGUUUGAUCCUGGUUCAGGACGAACGCUGGCGGCGUGCCUAACACAUGCAAGUCGAACGAGAUUUACCUUUCACUGAGUGCUCGAACAACUACAUCAAGCACGAAGUGCUUCACGCGUAUUCCAAGUACCAACACACUUGGAAAAUACGAAAUAGUUUGUUACACCAAUAUCUCGAUAUAUUUGGUGAAGAACUGAAGUGCUUCACGUGUAUUCCAAGUACCAACACACUUGGAAAAUACGAAAUAGUUUGUUACACCAAUAUCUCAAUAUAUUUGGUGAAGAACUGAAGUGCUUCACGCUAAUUCCAAGUGACAACACACUUGAUGAUUCGAGAACUAAGUGAAAGGUGAAUCUAGUGGCGGACGGGUGAGUAACGCGUGAACAAUCUUCCCUAUACAAAGGAAUAGCCUCGGGAAACCGGGAUUAAAACCAUAUAACACUUUUUGAUCGCAUGAUUGAGAAGUCAAAUUGAUUAGAGGUAUAGGAUGAGUUCGCGUCUGAUUAGCUAGUUGGCGGGGUAACGGCCCACCAAGGCGACGAUCAGUAGCCGGCCUGAGAGGGUGAACGGCCACACUGGAACUGAGACACGGUCCAGACUCCUACGGGAGGCAGCAGUGGGGAAUAUUGCACAAUGGAGGAAACUCUGAUGCAGCGACGCCGCGUGAGUGAAGAAGGUCUUCGGAUCGUAAAACUCUGUCCUUGUGAAGAAAGAAAUGACGGUAGCCAAGGAGGAAGCCCCGGCUAACUACGUGCCAGCAGCCGCGGUAAUACGUAGGGGGCGAGCGUUGUCCGGAUUUACUGGGCGUAAAGGGUGAGUAGGCGGUAAUAUGUGUCAGAUGUAAAAGGCGUAGGCUCAACUUACGUUAGCAUUUGAAACCGUAUUACUUGAGUGCAGGAGAGGUAAGCGGAAUUCCUAGUGUAGCGGUGAAAUGCGUAGAUAUUAGGGAGGAACACCAGUGGCGAAGGCGACUUACUGGACUGUAACUGACGCUGAGUCACGAAAGCGUGGGUAGCAAACAGGAUUAGAUACCCUGGUAGUCCACGCUGUAAACGAUGAGUGCUAGGUGUUGGGUAGCGAUAUUCAGUGCCGAAGUAAACACAAUAAGCACACCGCCUGGGGAGUACGGUCGCAAGACUGAAACUCAAAGGAAUUGACGGGGACCCGCACAAGCAGCGGAGCAUGUGGUUUAAUUCGAAGCAACGCGAAGAACCUUACCAAGGCUUGACAUCCCCUUGACCGGCACAGAGAUGUGCCCUCUCCUUCGGGAGCAAGGGUGACAGGUGGUGCAUGGUUGUCGUCAGCUCGUGUCGUGAGAUGUUGGGUUAAGUCCCGCAACGAGCGCAACCCUUAUCCUUAGUUGCCAGCAUUAACGAUGGGCACUCUAAGGAGACUGCCGAUGAUAAAUCGGAGGAAGGUGGGGAUGACGUCAAAUCAUCAUGCCCCUUAUGUCUUGGGCUACACACGUGCUACAAUGGUCGGUACAAAGGGGAGCGAAGGAGUGAUCUGAGCAAAUCCCAAUAAACCGAUCUCAGUUCGGAUUGUAGGUUGCAACUCGCCUACAUGAAGUCGGAGUUGCUAGUAAUCGCGAAUCAGAACGUCGCGGUGAAUGCGUUCCCGGGUCCUGUACACACCGCCCGUCACACCAUG